GUAGGUGAACCUGCGGAAGGAUCAUUAACGAACGAGGAAUUCCAAUUUACUUGGGAUUUUCUUGGGAUCAACCAAAACCUAUGUAAUGUAAAAUGUAUAUCGAUUAAUACUCGAAUACGCAAAUAAUUUUAAUAAAUACAAAACUUUCAACAACGGAUCUCUUGGCUCUU
rnacentral:misc_RNA from 1 species